ensembl:lncRNA
UAAGUUUCCGUAAGAACCAAAACCACAAACACCAGCUAUUCUAAUUCCUGAGGCACUUCUAAUAGUGGGGCUAGCCACUUGAAGCUGCAUGUCUCAACCUCAGCUACAAAGAUUCUUAGUGUCUAACCCCCCACCUUCCCCCAGACACACACCCUUGACUAAGGUUUUGACUUAUUGGUCUGUGAUGCAGCCUGGACCUUGGGAUUUCUCAAGUCCUCAAGUGAUGAGAAGCAGCAGCCAAGGCCAUGGCCUUUAAGUGUGUAACAGCUUUAUAGGUUUGGCAACAACCCCAUGGCCUCUGACAAUGCCCUUUUAAGUGCAAUGAUUCCAUUUUAGGUAGCCAGUGAAUGGUAAGAACUCCUCAGAAAGCGCACGCUGAAACCUGGGCUUUCUUGGAUGAAUAGAGUGAGAAUUUCCCUGUGGACAUUUAACAUUAAUACUUUUUAUGUUUAUUUUGGUAGCUUUCAUGUACAGCUAGAGUUGCAAGCCCCUGCUUUGUAGUUAUUUAAACCCUGAUAUAUGAUAUUGUCUUCAUUUUAGAUAUGUUGGUCCAUGUGUUAUUGUCAGUAACAUAAUACCAUAGGCUGAAUGAGCUAUAGAAGUAAGAGAUUUACCUUGUUUCAACAGUUUUGUAAGUUCAGGCCAAAGGGCCACAUCCGAUGAUGCAGGGUCUUGAAGUGUGCAGGAUAUCACAUGGCAAGAGAUAGUAUGCUUAUGUACGUGUCUCCUCUGGUCUCUCUCCUUCUUAGAAAGCCAGCCAUAUUUCAUCAUGGUGGCUCUGUGCUAAUCAUCAUAGCAGAUCCUAAUUACUUCCCACAAGCCCCACCUCUAAGCGCCAUUGACAGAUGGGGUUUCCAAUCUCUUAAUUCCUAUAAUAGUCGUCUUUGUGUUACUAUAAGAAAAUCUCUGAGAUAACCAAUUUUGGAAAAAAUGGUUAUUUUGGCUUGAAGUUUCAGAGUUUAAUUGACCCCCUGGCAUCUGGGCCUACGGAGAGGCAGCUCACUGUAGGCAGAAGUUUCUGACCCAUCCUCCAGUUCCCAAAUAACCAACACAGAGGCUUAAUAGUAAUUGCAAAUGCUCGGCCAGUAGCUCAGGCUUGUUAUUAGCUAACUCUUACAUUUUAAAUUAACCCGUAUUUCUUAUCUACACUUUGCCACGUGGCUUGAUACAUUUUCUCAGUAUAACAUGCCCAUAUUGCUUCUCUCUGUGUUUGCUCCUCUCUCUGGCCCUCUUUCUCCCAGCAUUCUCAGUUUGGCUCUCCUGCCCAGCCUUAUCCUGUUCAGCUACUGGCCAGUCAGCUUCUUUGUUAAACCAGUCAGAGUAAUACAUAUUCACAAUGUACAGAAGGAUGGCAGCAAUGCACCCCCUGGCAUCUGCGCCUGUGGAGAGGCAGCUCUUGAUGACAGUAAUGAAUGGAAGAGGAAGUUCCUCACCUCAGGGCGAGUAGAAACAAGACCAGAGGGGAAGACUCUUGUCUCAUACUUUUCUUUGAGGACACAUGCAUAAUGACUGACAGCCUCCUACUAGGCCCCACCUCUUGAAGAUCCUGACUUCCCCACAGCAUCAAGUUGGGGGUCCUGCCAUUUAUGAAGGACUCUUGGAGUGAUUGAAGAUACAUCUUACCAGUACUUUAUUAUUGGGGUUAACCUUGAAAUUGCAGGAGGCAUACCCUAGCUAAACCACAGUGGUUGGUAACUGCAGAGGCAACUUAAGCUAUCAUUUAAGUUCCACUCAAGUUAAAGCAGGAGCUAUAUCUUGCUUACUGUUGCUCAUACCUCAUAAAUGCCAAGUGUUGAGUAGCAUGGCCUUUAGUGAGAUGCUUUCCGGAGUAAAACUUUUCUUUUUUCCUGAAGGGAAUUGUUUCAAAGCUUUAGAAGGAGACAAAUAUCUGGAGGGCAUUGGUGCCCCUUACUCACAGUAAUGACCCAGGAAGCCAGUUCUCUCUUGUAGCUCUACUGGGGUAGUAGAGCCCAGCUCUGUGCAAAUGCUGUCUGAGAAUGAGAGGAGAAGAACAUGGAGAUGAGACAGUGCCCCCACCAGAUAGCCUUCCCUUGUCCGGACUACUCAAGCACCCACGUUUGUUCUGUUGGAAAAAUCUUGCUGCCUAGCACACACUGCCUUCAAACUCUCAAUCCUCCUGCCUCAGCUUCCCAAGUACUGGGAUUACAGGUGUACUCUACCAGGCCCUGGCUUUUAAUCUAGUCUUUCCUAUCCAUUGUUUGGAAUGCCUUUGAAACAAUCAUUUAUUUUAUUUUAUGCAUUUGUGUGUGUACCUGAGUAUAUUAUGUACACCAUGCAUAUGCAGGAGCCCAAGGACAUCAGAAGGGGGCAUCGGGUCUUCCGGAACUGGGAAUUACAGGUGGUUGUGAGCCAACAUGUGAGUGUUAGGAUCUGGUCCUACCUAACCUGGUCCUCUGCAGAGCAGCAGGCACUCUUGAGUGCUAAACCAUCUCUCCACUUCCCAGAAUGCCUUUUAAAAACACAUGUGACCUUUGUUUUAGAAACCUAGAGAAGUAGGCUUUCUCCGAAUGUUUCUGUUAGGAACGACUAAAACCCCCACCAUUAGGAGUUGGAAAGGUGAAAAGAAGGCAAGGGCCAUCCACGAACCUUAGAACACAAGGUUCAACAAGGCAGUGGGUUCCUGGGUUUGUCUUUCUGUCUCUAUGUAUCCCAAAUCUGGAUGUGAAGAAGCCUGCAACUCAAGGAUCGUGAGAGAUCCAGACAAUGCCGAAACAAAGUCAAAAGACCAGAAAGGAAGCAGCAGAAGCUGGCCACACCCACAAAUCUUACAAUAUCCCUGAUCCUCAGCGACAUUACCAUUGCUUUAAGAUAAAUUCACAAUACUCUGUAGUGCUUGAUUAAAGUUUGUGAGGUCACAGUUUGUGUGGUCUAGGUCAGCAACCCCCAGUGUCUACAAAUCCUCGUCGCCCUCAGAGGUCCUCCUCUAAAUAGAGAUUAAAUUCUACCCUCUUAAUAUCUCAGAGCGGGUAUUAAAUUUCAACACAGGAACCCAGCCCAGAUUGCUUGAAAUCAGGUAUGGUGAUAGGACAUGCCUGUAACCUUAGCACAAAGAAGGUGAAUGCAGGAAGCUCAGGAGUCAGGCUCAACUCUGGCUAUAUAACAACGUGGAGGUUAGUCUGGGCUGUAUGAGGACUCUGCUCAAAAACUCAAACCAAAGCCACCAAAAUUAGGCAAGGAGAUAGACAUCAUUUCUUCCUGCUUUGCUGUUUGCUGAGCGCAUGGAAGACUAUAGUAUCUCCCUAAGUCCAUCCCCAUCACUCCAGAGCUCAGCUGCCGAAGAGAUCAACACAGCAUUGUUCUGAGUGGCACUGUCAUAAUCUCCCGGAUUUUGACGCUUAGGGCGCCUCUUUCUUCACACCCAAUCAACAAAUUUAAGCAAAACAGAAACUGACAAGGAGGCAGGAGUGACACACAUUCUCACUCAUGCAGAAAGAAUAGAAACUGUUCUAAAAGCAGCUUUAAAAAAUUAGAGGCACUGACAAAAGAUGUAAAAAGAUCUUAUGGAAGGAAAAAGCGCUGUCUCCCAGCUUUUGACCUAAUAAAAUGGCCCCCGGACCUGCCCUCUCAAGGCUUUUGUGAGUGGUGAGACACUGAAUUUACUAAAUUGUAAGUGUUCUUAGGGCUCAUGUUGAAUCUGUCACAUGCUCCUCUCCUCUGUACCUUGGUAUCCCUCUGGCCCCCAAUCUGCAGCCUUGUUUGUAGUUCAAGAGCUAACAUUUUAAACAAUUACUCAAGACAUUUUGCGUUCUGACAUUUCAUAAGAAUAUUAGUCCCCAGACACCACUGUGUGUGAAAUAUAACUAUUUUUAGUAACCCCAAUUAAAUUUCACUUCUACAACACUGACACGACCUAGCCUAUGCAUUUUGGGGAAAACAUGCUGAUUUUCUUUAAGAUUUUUGUUUUAUGUGUACAGGGAGUGUUUGCUUGCACAUACAUAUUGUAUUACAUGUGUGUCUGUUGCCUGUGGAGGGCAGCAGAGGGUGUAGAAUCCCUUGGAACUGGAGUCACAGGUGGCUGAGUCCACAUGUUGAUGCUGGGAAUUGAACCCAGGUCCUCAGCAAGAGCUCAUAACCCCUGAGCCAUCUCACCAGUCUUGGAGACGUCUUUAUAAGAAAAAAUUGUUAUCUUUCUAAUUUUUGCUAUGAGGAGUACCGCCCCCCACCCCAAGUUCCUGUCAAAGUUUCCACAGGUGAAGCUGUGUGGAGGAAGGGCAGAGGUGGGCGGUAUGAAAGUGUACCUGCAUAAUAUUGCAUCUUCAUUAUUCAGGGCUUUAUAAAAUGCAAAUGUAGUUCAGUGGUAGACUGCUUUUCUAGGCUCUGGAUUCACCUCCUAGCCCAGGAAGGCUUUAUGUGAUGGGUUUGCCCAGCU